GACAAAUAACACAUUCAGAUUUACAUAUAUGUAGUUGGGAGGGGAAACCUCCAUUCAAAAUAAUAUAUAUAUCCAAAGUUACAGAAGUUUGCUGAGCAUUGCUCUUCAAAGGCUUUUUCAAAACACUACAACAAUGGAUUUAAGUUGCGAUAUGAAAAGAUCACACUUUACGAUCUACCAGUUAUACACACACCAUGCGAUUUGUGUAAUAGAGAUAUAAGUACUAAACAUGAGAUUGAGAGCAUGUUAA
rnacentral:lncRNA from 1 species